CAUACUUUAAAACAAAGGCUUUAAUGGGGCUAUCAAACCAGAAGUUCUUAAGGGCAUGACUAAAGACUGAGGUUCUCCACAGGAUGUCAGUCACUCAAUAGUGCUAAUGUUUUCCCUAAGGAGAGAUGAGA
rnacentral:snoRNA from 1 species